UUUGGUCUGCACAUUAGAACCCAAAGCUAAUCUCACCAGGACAGCAUGCCUAAUCAAAGGGUAGGUCCACAGAGUAAGCUUAACAAACAAUAGUCAACCAAUUGAAAAGUUACUCAACUUUAAGGAAAAGCUUUUAACAAGGUACUGUCUAUAGUCAUAACAGAAUCUCUUACAUAUCUGGGUGUUUAACUCCCAAGUGUGGAAAUCAACAAAAGAUUGCUAAUAAGCAGAAUGGUAUCUUCCACAGAAAGGCGUACUAUUUCUUCUGCUAUGAAACAUUCGAAAGCAACGAAAUGCGAAGUUUCCCUAAGUACCGUGAACAUGAUCAACACAGCAGUAGUAUGACUUUUUCUAAGAAUAAUCGAAUAUCUGUUUAGCCAACAUUUCACGCCAUACUCGACGAUGGGACACUUGCCAGAAGAGCUGCUCCUCUAUCGAGAGCUCAAAUCAUUAUAGUGAGCAGCGCCGUUAGCACAGGCGUUAUCUUUGG